AGGAUGAACGCUGGCGGCGUGCCUAAAACAUGCAAGUCAUACGGGUGAGCUUCGGUUCACCAGUGGCAAACGGGUGAGUAACACGUGGGAACACGCCUUCGAGUGGGGAAUAACGCUGAGAAAUCAGUGCUAAUACCGCAUAUGGUCGAGAGACUAAAGCAGCAAUGCGCUCGGAGAGUGGCCCGCGGUCGAUUAGCUAGUUGGUGGGGUAAUGGCCUACCAAGGCGGCGAUCGAUAGCUGGU
rnacentral:rRNA from 1 species